rnacentral:lncRNA from 1 species
GCUUGUAUUGUUGCAAGAAAGAGAGGUAUCCGAGGGAAGAGGGAAAGGGGCCGAUUUUUUGGGGUGAAUGUAAGGAAAAUUCUACCAUUGUUUCUUCUUCUCCUUCUUCCAUUUGUAGCUUGGAAAUACUACCACCAAGUGUCUCCUUUGUGGGGUUAAAACUGAGGCAACCAAAGGUGUUGAGGGUUGUUGGGUCGAGCUGGUUGAUUGUUGUUCGUUUGGUUGUUUUCUG